rnacentral:tRNA from 1 species
GCUUGUUCGGCUCAGUGGACAGAGCAUCAGCCUGUGGACUGAAGGGUGCUGGGUUCGAUUCCAGUCAAAGGCA